UCCCUGGUGGCUCAGAUGGUAAAGCGUCUGCCUACAAUGCAGGAGACCCAGGUUUGAUCCCUGGGUUGGGAA
rnacentral:tRNA from 1 species